GAACGCACAUUGCGCCCUCUGGUAUUCCGGAGGGCAUGCCUGUCUGAGCGUCAAUAUAACAUCAAACACCAGUUUGGUCUUGGAAGAAGAGAUGGCAACGUCUCCCUUCUGUAAAUCAUUGAGCAGCAGUCCAAGCUAUGCGACGUAGUAAGCACAAAUCUCGUCGAACUGUAGCCUUGCGACUGUUUGCCAUAACCCAAAUAUAUCAUUGUUUGACCUCAGAUCAGGUAGGGAUACCCCCUGAACUUA
rnacentral:misc_RNA from 1 species